ACAAAAACUGUACACUGUUUAUAUAUGAUGCAGGUCUACCCAAAGCUGUGCAUUAUCUAUGAUCAUUGCAGUUACCCUUAAGUUGUACAUAGUUUACUCUACGUGUAUCAUAUGUAUACCUAAAACUUCAAUAUUCAUUUCUUUUUAGGUUCUGCAGUUACAAACUCCUUACGCAGCUAUAGGGAAACUACCCAGUUAUUAAAAACAGACAUAAGCUCAGUGCCCUUUUGCAUCUCAGAGUUGGGCCUGUGAGAAAAGCAGAAAAGUAGAAACUAUAAAAGGAAAUACUAUAAAUAAAUGGACAUGACAUUGCCAGGGAGAAUAAUGAAAGAUAAAGGUCAGAUUUGCUAGAAGUUUGGAAAACAUGUCAACUUUGCUUCCUGUGGAACAGAUUAAAUUGUAUGUGCCUGUAUCAGAGGAUUUGUAUCUAAACUGUGGGAGUACUUGUUUUCUUUGGACAUAUUCCAUCAUGCUAUACACAUGUCCAUGAAGCUGAAACAUGAUGCAAGUCUCGCCCUAUCACGACAGUUGAAGGACACAGAGGAUUCUGCUAACAGGUGAAACUCAGCUGCUGUAGUAACGCCAAGCAUUUCAGAGACAAAGGUCCUUGAUCUUUUUCUCCAGUGACCGGACAAAAGGGGACUGUCACCAAUGGGACAUAUUUAAAAGGAGGCUAAAGUUUUUCCAUGUGAUGCUUUGGUUAAAGCUAAAACAUUCAUGUUUGGUUUUAUUCACCUUUAUUUGCCCUUAAUAGAUAUUUUUUUUUUAAAAGCUUUUAUUUGUUUUGUAAUUUUAACAAAGAUAAAAUUAGAGCAAAAAAUAGAGAAGAAGAAAGAGAAAAGGAGUCUCAAGGGUCACUAGGAGUGGGUAUUAUUGCAAAAUACAUCUUUCCAUAGAAACACAUUGACAUCAGAGUCGGACUGGACCACCGGGAUACCAGGAAAACUCCCAGUGGGCCCAGGUGUCAGU